rnacentral:lncRNA from 10 species
UCUCACCCGUUCCACCGGAGAGAGACUGAGGAUUUCUGCUUCUGGUCUGAAGGACAAAAUUUUAGGGAAAAACUUUGAUUGGUCCAACAUAGAUGGAGAAAUGACAACUGGAGAGGGGAGUUCUACUGGAGAGGGGAGUUCACACAUAUACACUGAAAGCUGCCCAUCAAAAGAGUUGCAGAACCAGGACUACAGCCCUUGCAUCUUGACUGCCAGUACGAUGCAGGUUAAACUCUGUGUUUGAUGCUUGUUGAUGUGGACGUCUGGAACUUGAAUAGAAGACAUUUCUUAUUUCAGAUGCAUCCAUUAGCAGGUCUUAGCCAGGAGCCAGGCCCUUGCAAGUAUAUAUUGCAAGUAAUUGAUGACAUUGGAG